UAUAGUAUAUAACCCAUUACAUUCAAUUUCGACUUGAAAUAAAAUAUAUUAAUAUUUAU
rnacentral:tRNA from 1 species